rnacentral:rRNA from 1 species
UACGUAGGGUGCGAGCGUUGUCCGGAGUUACUGGGCGUAAAGGGCAUGCAGGCGGUCCGACACGUUUUGUGUGACAGCGGGUGGCUUAACUACCCGAGGAUACGAAAGACGGUUGGACUUGAGGACUCGAGAGGGACACGGAAUUCCGGGUGGAGUGGUGAAAUGCGCAGAUAUCAGGAAGAACACCCGUGGCGAAGGCGGCUCUCUGGGACGGUACUGACGCUGAGACGCGAAAGCGUGGGGAGCGAACAGG